rnacentral:rRNA from 1 species
GGGAAUCUACCGAGCCCUGCGGAAUAGCUCCGGGAAACUGGAAUUAAUACCGCAUACGCCCUACGGGGGAAAGAUUUAUCGGGGUUUGAUGAGCCCGCGUUGGAUUAGCUAGUUGGUGGGGUAAAGGCCUACCAAGGCGACGAUCCAUAGCUGGUCUGAGAGGAUGAUCAGCCACAUUGGGACUGAGACACGGCCCAAACUCCUACGGGAGGCAGCAGUGGGGAAUAUUGGACAAUGGGCGUAAGCCUGAUCCAGCCAUGCCGCGUGAGUGAUGAAGGCCCUAGGGUUGUAAAGCUCUUUCAACGGUGAAGAUAAUGACGGUAACCGUAGAAGAAGCCCCGGCUAACUUCGUGCCAGCAGCCGCGGUAAUACGAAGGGGGCUAGCGUUGUUCGGAAUUACUGGGCGUAAAGCGCACGUAGGCGGAUAUUUAAGUCAGGGGUGAAAUCCCGGGGCUCAACCUCGGAACUGCCUUUGAUACUGGGUAUCUUGAGUAUGGAAGAGGUAAGUGGAAUUGCGAGU